GACGAACGCUGGCGGCGCGCUUAACACAUGCAAGUCGAGCGAAGCGGCGGACGGGUGAGUAACACGUGAGUAACCUGCCUUAGACAUUGGGAUAGCCGCGGGAAACCGGGAUUAAUACCAAAUGGUCUAAGAUGGACUCGCGUCCCAUUAGCUAGUUGGUGAGGUAACGGUCCAACAAGGCGACGUUGGGUAGCCGGUCUGUGAGGGUGAACGUCCACAUUGGAACUGAGAAACGGUCCAAACUCUACGGGAGGCAGCAGUGGGGAAUAUUGCACAAGGGAGGGAACUCUGAUGCAGCGACGCCGCGUGAACGAAGAAGGCUUUCGAGUCGUAAAGUUCUUUUAUAUGGGAAGCGGUACCAUAAGAAAAAGCCCCGGCUAACUACGUGCCAGCAGCCGCGGUAAUAC
rnacentral:rRNA from 1 species